GACGAACGCUGGCGGCGUGCUUAACACAUGCAAGUCGAACGGAAAGGCCCUGCUUUUGUGGGGUGCUCGAGUGGCGAACGGGUGAGUAACACGUGAGUAACCUGCUCUUGACUUUGGGAUAACUUCAGGAAAGUGGGGUUAAUCCCGUAUAGGAGCUCCUGCUGCAUGGAGGGGGUUGGAAAUUUUCGGCGGUUGGGGAUGGACUCGCGGCUUAUCAGCUUGUUGGUGGGGUAGUGGCUUACCAAGGCUUGGACGGGUCGCCGGCCUGAGAGGGUGACCGGCCACAUUGGGACUGAGAUACGGACCAGACUCCUACGGGAGACAGCAGUGGGGAAUAUUGCACAAUGGGCGGAAGCGUGAUGCAGCAACGCCGCGUGCGGGAUGACGGCCUUCGGGUUGUAAACCGCUUUCGCCUGUGACGAAGCGUGAGUGACGGUAAUGGGUAAAGAAGCACCGGCUAACUACGUG
rnacentral:rRNA from 1 species